CGAAGGUUUGAGAAUUGUAGUUGCCCUCCAUUGAUGAAGCUUUUGUUGGCACCAUAAAUUGGUUUUGCUUCACAUUGUCUUGAUCAAGAGUGUGUGAAGCUUUUGAGAAUUGUGGUUGUCCUUCAUUGAUGAAGCUCUUGUUGGCACCAUAAAUUGGUUUUGCUUCACACUGUCUUGAUCAAGAGUGUGAAGCUUUUGAGAAUUAUGGUUGAACUCCUUUGAUGAAGCUUUUGUUGGCACCAUAAAUUGGUUUUGCUUCACACUAUCUUGAUCAAGAGUGCGUGAAGCUUUUGAGAAUUAUGGUUACCCUCCAUUGAUGAAGCUCUUGUUGGCACCAUAAAUUGGUUUUGCUUUGCACUAUCUUGAUCAAGAGUGUGUGAAGCUUUUGAGAAUUGUGGUUGAACUCCUUUGUUGAAGCUUUUGUUGUCACCAUAAAUUGGUUUUGCUUCACACUAUCUUGAUCAAGAGUGUGUGAAGCUUUUGAGAAUUGUGGUUGCCCUUCAUUGAUGAAGCUCUUGUUGGCACCAUAAAUUGGUUUUGCUUCACACUGUCUUGAUCAAGUGUGUGUGAAGCUUUUGAGAAUUGUGGUUGCCCUCCAUUGAUGAAGCUCUUGUUGGCACCAUAAAUUGGUUUUGCUUCACACUGUCUUGAUCAAGUGUGUGUGAAGCUUUUUGCCCUCCAUUGAUGAAGCUCUUGUUGGCACCAUAAAUUGGUUUUGCUUCACACUGUCUUGAUCAAGAGUGUGUGAAGCUUUUGAGAAUUGUGGUUGAACUCCUUUAAUGAGGCUCUUGUUAGCACCAUAAAUUGGUUUUGCUUCACACUGUCUUGAUCAAGAGUGUGUGAAGCUUUUGAGAAUUGUGGUUGCCCUCUAUUGAUGAAGCUCUUGUUUGCACCAUAAAUUGGUUUUGCUUCACACUGUCUUGAUCAAGAGUGUGUGAAGCUUUUGAGAAUUGUGGUUACCCUCCAUUGGUGAAGCUUUUGUUGGCACUAUAAAUUGGUUUUGCUUCACACUGUCUUAAUCAAAAGUGUGUGAAGCUUUUGAGAAUUGUGGUUG
rnacentral:lncRNA from 1 species